AUCGCUUCUCGGCCUUUUGGCUCAGAUCAAGUGUAGUAUCUGUUCUUAUCAGUUUAAUAUCUGAUCGUCCCCCAUCGAGGGACUACAUAUUAAAUGGAUUUUUCGAACAGGGGAGUCGGAAAUGGGGCUUGCUCCGUCCGCUCCACGCGUCGACCGGUAUUGCAGUACCUCCGGGAAUGGUGCAACACUU
rnacentral:snRNA from 1 species